ensembl:misc_RNA
CCGACCCCUGGUGUGGGAGUGGGGCUGCUAGAGCCACCCCAUGUGAGCUCAGGAAAGGGAGGAAUGUCACUGAGGCCGGGCGUGGCUGGGAUAACUCAGCCAGCUGUGGGUUUUUCUUGGGGCCCAGGGAGACCUGAGCAGAGAUGGAGGCCCCUCUCCCGGCCCCCAACACACACACUAGGACCUUUCUUCC